rnacentral:rRNA from 1 species
AGCAGCCGCGGUAAUUCCAGCUCCAAUAGCGUAUAUUAAAGUUGUUGCAGUUAAAAAGCUCGUAGUUGAAUUUCGGGAUCAAUACGUCGGUCGUGCUUCGGUACGUACUGGCGUAAUUGAUUUCUCCCUUCUGACGAACCAUGAUGUCAUUAACUUGGUGUCAUGGGAAAUCAGGACUGUUACUUUGAAAAAUUAGGGUGUUUAAAGCAGGCUCACGCUUGAAUACAUUAGCAUGGAAUAAUGAAAUAGGACGUUCGAUCCUAUUUUGUUGGUUUUUAGGAUCAACGUAAUGAUUAUAGGGAUAGUUGGGGCAUUAGUAUUCAAUUGUCAGAGGUGAAAUUCUUGGAUUUAUUGAAGACUAACUACUGCGAAAGCAUUUGCCAAGGAUGUUUUCAUUAAUCAAGAACGAAAGUUAGGGGAUCGAAGACGAUCAGAUACCGUCGUAGUCUUAACCAUAAACUAUGACCGACUAGGGAUCGGAUGAUGUUAAUUUUUAAUGUACUCAUUCGGCG